rnacentral:lncRNA from 1 species
CCAGAGAAGGUGACUGGAGUCAGUAGCUCAUCCGUUCCUUUCCAAACUUCCUGUGCACUUAGGAGGAUAUAACCAGCUUGGAUGAUGUUCUGCAACAUGGUGCUGACCACAGUCUGCCUAAAUAAAGAGAGGUCCAGGCUAGAGGACCACACUGUCCCAUGGCACUCAGCCGGGGCAGCGAGCAGCUUGAGUCUGAAGCUGAAGGGCUCAGAUAAGAGGACGACUGUGUCAUCCCCGGAGAAAGGAGAUGCGCUGUGCAUGGAAGAAAGCCAGAGGUCCUGGAGAUUGUCCAUCACUGCUCAGUCUGGAGCUGGGCAGAGGCAGGAGAGAAAGAGCAAGGCUGGAGGUCUGUGGGCAGAGCUCACCAAGGGGUUAGCAGCAGGAGCAGGCAAAGCCUGGCUCGGAAGUGGCCUUGUGGCUGCUGGCAGUGAUGGCAGCGUUGCUGCUCUGCCAAGAGUUGGCCAGGGUCAGACCUGUGAGGGGACAACGGGAUCUGCUGAGGGCAGGGACACAGGUGUCCUGUGCUGGUGACCAGAAGCACCGGGCCUGCCCAGCCUGACGCAGAGGUACCCUGGCCACAGAGGUGACUUCCGGAAGACAGAGCUAGGGCGAGCACCCUGUGACCUGUGCUUGCUUCUGGGUAGCUCUUGAGGACUCAUACAGUUACCUUAGUACGUUUGGAAUUUGAUAUAUUAACCAUAGAUAAGUAAUGAUAAAUAAAUAUAUAUAUGAUAAAACAUGCACAUGUAAGCUCUAGAAUAAAAUGAGAUUUUAUAUUUUUUGGUCUACAGAAAAUAUGUUAUGGUAA